GCUCCACUCUGUCCUCUUGCUUAUAUGAUGGAGACGAACUUGACUCGCGACGCGGAGCCGGCUGACAUGCUGCCAGAGAGCGGUCGGAGGUGCAAAAGAGGUCCUCGCAAGAGGAGAAUACCAUUAUGCACGGACCAAGGCUGGUUUUUGGGUGACCACUUUGGGGUAAGAGUCAUGUGUAUAUGUUCUCAUGUAGAAAUUCCACAAAUUACUUACACAUGCAUGUAGCAUUUUUCUAUAUAUUGUGCUACCAUUUUGAGUUCAGAAUUUUCAUUUAUAAUUAAUCCAUCAAUGUACUACAUCCAAUGUAUUCUAUGUCGUUGGUUGUUUGAACAGGGCACAUCCUGCCUCCGGGAUGCACCUUCUGCAAGUGAAGGCCGAAACCGUGGACUCAGAACAAACGGGCCCCAUUGGACUACGGAAGAUGUGACUACACUAGUUGAUGGUCUUGAAGAAUUUAGGGGUCGACGAUGGUCUGCGAUAAAGAAGAAAUAUUUUCCAACGUCAGAUCGAACUACGGAGAAUCUUAAGGAUAAGUGGAAAAAUCUGCGAAAAUCAUACACAGGAAAUGCAGAAAGAAGAUGCUAUCUAGUUCUUCCUGAUCAUUUGAUCGAACGAAUCAUGAGGCUAGCAGUGAUUGGUAACUGAAAGGAAGAUGCCCUGGUGAAUGGUACAAGAGUCACUGUUUAGGACUUUUGGUGUAGAGUGGUCAGUAGCUAGCUUGAAUCAGCAGAGAAUAACUUUUAUUGAUGUAGAGCCAUGUCUAGUUCUUCCGGAUCAUUUGAUCGAACGAAUCAAGAGGCUAGCAGCGACUGGUAACUGAAAGGAAGAUGCCCUGAUGUAUGGUACAAGAGUCACUGUUUAGGACUUUUGGUGUAGAGUGGUCAGUAGCUAGCUUGAAUCAGCAGAUAAUAACUUGUACGUAUUGAAGUAGAGCCCUGUCUCCUAAUCCAUUUUAAUAGCCCAGUGUUAAGCCAGCAUUAUUUGAAGAAGACAUGAUGUUUUAGCAGUG